UAAAAAUAACAAAAGCCAAAUUUACACUACUAGGUAAUUCAAAUACGAGAUUAUCGUUAAUUCGUCAACUAUAUAAUGCUCACGUGCACAACCCUAGUGAGCCAUUAUCAUAUCAUAAGCGACCCACAGGGCCGCCUCCUCAAAAUCAUCAUCAUCUAGUUGCUCCGUUUCCAUGACAAUUGAAUCGUUCAGUAUGCUGCACUUUCAAUUCAAUUUCUUGUGAAGCAAAACAGCAUGUUCUUAGCAAGUGCACCGAAAAAAUAUUGAAUGGCAGCAUAGGAGGAGUGGGUCGCAUAUGAAUCAUGUAAUCAAAGAAGUCAAUUGAUUUGUUGGGAGUGAUGUUACCUGAUUUACAGCUUUCUUCAAGUAAUUUGUCAAGUGAGGUUCGGUCUUUGACAGCGCCGUAUUCAAUUUCGUGGUUUCGUUUUUGGACGUGAUAUGGGUAAGUAAUUUGGAUUGCCUUCAUACAACACAAACAAAAAAGAAAGAGUUUUAUCUUCUUUUUAGAUCUGAGCAAAAAGAUUAUAACGUUAGAUUUUAACCUUUUUUAGUAAUGUCUUUGCAGUCAGAAAAAAAAAAAGGGUUGGAUUUUCUAUUCCGUAAAAGGAAAAGAUCAUGCAUUGGCCGUCGCUGUACUUUAAAUUUGUCAAAAGCUGCAAUCGAAGCUCCUUAAAGAUCAUGUAUAACAACACGGGCUUGCAAUCUCAUUUCUUCAGCUACUGGGUCUGGCCAUUUCACUUUCAAAAGCUUUAUCACAAUUUGAAUAUUAACUGUGAAAGGCCGAACCUCACCUGACAAAUUCCUUGCAGGAAACUGUAAGCAGGUUACAUACCCCCAACGAAUCCUCUUGCUUCUUUGAUUACAUUAUUCUUAUACAACCCACCCCUCCCAUAUUGUCAUUCAAUAGGUUGUUUGUUGUAUUUGCUAAGGAUUAACUUGGCAUUCUCAUAAUGUUGUUUUGCUGUGCAAGAAGAGAUUGAAUAAUAAUAAUAAUACAAUAUAUUGCGUUUGUUUACUUUCUUUGUUGUAACUAUUAUGUUUUAAUUUCAAAUAGAGGUGCUCAGCUGUGUUAGGUGUUAAUGCUAAUGGUUACUGGUUGCAGCACAACUGUUUCUAUUUCAUUUCAGAAGCGGUAAUCCAAUUCUUGCUCAAUGCCCCAUGUCCCUUCCUUCUUUUACCGGGUGAUGAUGAAUCUAAUGGAAAAUAUUGACUGCAAAAUAACUGUUCCAAUAUCAUAUAAUUUGGAUAUUGGAUUCAAAGGGGGCAUUUUGUCCCAAUUAUUAGAUUUGAUGGAUGUUUUAUUUUAACAAACGCAAGCAAGUUUAAGGAUCUGCUCUCAAUGUUCAUACAGAAUUAGUUUGUACAAAGAGUUUGUGGUUUGGCAUAAUCCUUCGUUUUAACCUUAGAAGGCCGCUUAUUUUUGGGCGCGGCUUUGCCCGCGGCCUAUUUUUGGCACACGGAGGUCCCUCGCAAAGUCUCGCCCCAUUCCGAGUCCGGCGGACGAACUUGGCCAGCCCCCCGCGGCUGUGCCCGCGGCCUACUUUUGGCACACGGAAGGCCCUCGCAAAGUCUCGCCGCAUUCCGAGUCCGGCGGACGAACUUGGCCAGCCUCACCCCCCAAGGCUAAUAGCCCACCCGUAACCAAUGGCGACCGUCACCUAGAGCAGCACAACACUUCAGAUCAAAAUCGUCCAAAAAUUUCAGAAAUCAUCACCAACCUUAACUAAUGUUGUAGAAAAGCAAUUAUUCAAAACCGUUAGAACCUUCUAUGGCUUGCGUCAAGCAAAACAUCAUGUCCUUAGCAAGUUCACCGAAAAUAUAGCGAAUGAUGACAUAUGAGAGGGGUUGCAUGUGAAUCAUCUGAAGUGCUUCGUUGUGAGUAAUGUUAUUCGAUUUACAGUUCUCUUUGAUAAUAUCUUUUUAGUGGGGAUUGAUCUUCCACAGCUGAGCAUUAAAAUUUCGUUGUAUACCUUUUAGACGUGGAGAGUAAGAAAAUUGUAAACCGGCAACAUCUUUCUCAAUGAGCCACUCAAGCUUUCUUACAUUAUUCAUCCACAGCCCACUCCUCCCGAUCCCAUGUUGUCAUUCAAUAGGCUUUUGGUUUACUUUGCUGAUAAUUAACAUCAUGGUUAUGCUAUUUUGCUGUUUAUGUCUUUACCAUAAAGAGUGCUGUAAAUGUUAUGGUAUCCUUGCUGGGAUAUGCUUUGUCAGCAAUUGAACUCACUCUUGGAAUUAGAGCCUGCAAUUUGUAUGAAACAUCACCAGCCUCGUUAUGAUAUUUGCUUAUCUAUAGAUGUCCUAUUUUUCAGGGAGAUGCAGUCAGUCGUUAGCAAGCUUUACAAUCUUGAUUCAUACAUUCAACCGUAACAAUCCAAUUCAAGGAAACGCACUUAAAAAUUCCCCAUGCUCUACUUGCACGAUCAAAACCAUG
rnacentral:lncRNA from 1 species